GACGAACGCUGGCGGCGUGCCUAAUACAUGCAAGUUGAGCGAUGAAGAUUGGUGCUUGCACCAAUUUGAAGAGCAGCGAACGGGUGAGUAACGCGUGGGGAAUCUGCCUUUGAGCGGGGGACAACAUUUGGAAACGAAUGCUAAUACCGCAUAAUAACUUUAAACAUAAGUUUUAAGUUUGAAAGAUGCAAUUGCAUCACUCAAAGAUGAUCCCGCGUUGUAUUAGCUAGUUGGUGAGGUAAAGGCUCACCAAGGCGAUGAUACAUAGCCGACCUGAGAGGGUGAUCGGCCACAUUGGGACUGAGACACGGCCCAAACUCCUACGGGAGGCAGCAGUAGGGAAUCUUCGGCAAUGGACGAAAGUCUGACCGAGCGACGCCGCGUGAGUGAAGAAGGUUUUCGGAUCGUAAAACUCUGUUGGUAGAGAAGAACGUUGGUGAGAGUGGAAAGCUCAUCAAGUGACGAUAACUACCCAGAAAGGGACGGCUAACUACGUG
rnacentral:rRNA from 1 species